GUAGGUGAACCUGCGGAAGGAUCAUUCGAGGAGGGCGCUCGCAUGCGCAGCAUGUGAGUGCCCGAGCAUUAUUUUGUGCUUGUAAGUCGAAAGACAACAUUUAUUAUUUCUAUUGAUAUUUAUUUAACAACAAAACUAUAAACAACGGAUCUCUAGGCUCUU
rnacentral:misc_RNA from 1 species